rnacentral:rRNA from 1 species
GGGGUGCACCAGGCGCGAAAACUCUACAAUGCAGGCAACUGCGAUAGGGGGACAUCGAGUGGCAUCCACCUUGGGUGCCUGUCCAACCGUCUAAAAAACGGUUGUUAGCAAGGGCCGGGUAAGACCGGUGCCAGCCGCCGCGGUAAUACCGGCGGCUCGAGUGGUGGCCGAUAUUAUUGAGUCUAAAGGGUCCGUAGCCGGCUUUGCAAGUCCCCUGGGAAAUCCAGCGGCUUAACCGUUGGGCCUUCAUGGGAUACUACAUUGCUUGGGACUGGGAGAGGUAGGAGGUACUCGGGGGGUAGGGGUGAAAUCCUGUAAUCCUCCGGGGACCACCGGUGGCGAAGGCGUCCUACCAGAACAGGUCCGACGGUGAGGGACGAAAGCUAGGGGCACGAACCGGAUUAGAUACCCGGGUAGUCCUAGCCGUAAACGAUGCCCGCUGGGUGUCACGACGGUCGUGAAUCGUCGUGGUGCCGUAGGGAAGCCGCGAAGCGGGCCACUUGGGAAGUACGGCCGCAAGGCUGAAACUUAAAGGAAUUGG